AAGAAAUGAAAGAGAACAGAGAACUUGACCCACCCCAGCCAAUGUUCAUAGAAUGGAAGUAUGGAGAUAUCAAAGUCAAGUUGUUUGACGGCCCAAAGGAAAUUGGCGAAAAGAGACUUGGUACAAGUGAUAUCUACCGCCUUGAUAGAAAUCGAUUCACCUUUAAAGUGAAGCCACUGGAGUCAGGGGCAAGCCAAAAUAUUCUACAAUUCACCUUGAAUAAAAAAAAGUCUCUCUCUGACCCUACUGAGAUUCUUUUUUACUUGCGAUAUGAUGAUAUGGGAACAACAGCAGCAGCAGCAGAAGGGGUGUCAACUCUAUCAUGG